rnacentral:rRNA from 1 species
GACGAACGCUGGCGGCGUGCCUAAUACAUGCAAGUUGAGCGCUGAAGGUUGGUACUUGUACCGACUGGAUGAGCAGCGAACGGGUGAGUAACGCGUGGGGAAUCUGCCUUUGAGCGGGGGACAACAUUUGGAAACGAAUGCUAAUACCGCAUAAAAACUUUAAACACAAGUUUUAAGUUUGAAAGAUGCAAUUGCAUCACUCAAAGAUGAUCCCGCGUUGUAUUAGCUAGUUGGUGAGGUAAAGGCUCACCAAGGCGAUGAUACAUAGCCGACCUGAGAGGGUCAUCGGCCACAUUGGGACUGAGACACGGCCCAAACUCCUACGGGAGGCAGCAGUAGGGAAUCUUCGGCAAUGGACGAAAGUCUGACCGAGCAACGCCGCGUGAGUGAAGAAGGUUUUCGGAUCGUAAAACUCUGUUGGUAGAGAAGAACGUUGGUGAGAGUGGAAAGCUCAUCAAGUGACGGUAACUACCCAGAAAGGGACGGCUAACUACGUG